rnacentral:misc_RNA from 1 species
UCCUUUCACCGCCUAAAUCCGUGAAAAAAUCUCCUCUAUCUAGUUCGUCGGCCUCUUCAUCAUCGUCGUCCUCAAAACCUUCGUCUCCGACAACUGCUAUAUCCUCUCCAAGGAUCUCAACUCAGGUUCCUGACUAUUGCGUCCAUCAGAUCCCAACGCCAGUGAGGUUUUCGUACCGCUGGAAGAAGUCUCAGUCGAAGAUUCCUCACUGCUCAUAUCAUCUUCAAGGGAACCCUAGCCACAUCUACCUCAUCCACAAUGGCAAUCACUGGCAAUAACACCAACUAGAAUGAGGAAAAUCAAAGCAAACAUAAAUAUAAGAUAUAACGAAAUAGAAAAAGGAAAUUCCAAG